CUGCUGCUGCGUCUGCUGCUGAGUCUGCUGCUGCGUCUGCUGCUGCGUCGCUGGAUCGGGAUCCCCCUCGUAAUCUGGCAGGAUUAUCCUUUGGACAGAAAGUGGCUGGCCAAAGAUAAGAGCCACUAUUCUUUCUCGGGGAGUUUGGCCGCUGAGCUCCUCCUCUUCGAGACGGACCAGCGUUGGAAGCGAUUCCUCGGAGAUGGCCGGAUCUGGAUGUUGAUGAUGAUGGCUGCUCCGAUCCUGAUUUUGAGGCUGCAGCGGGCGGAAGUGUUGGAGCAGCUGUUGCAGAUAACGUGGUCUCUGCAAUCGCUGUGGUUCAUACGGCUGCAGUAAUAGUUUCCGAGCCUCCGGAUUGACAUGGCAAGCCAAGGAGUUGGCGAAGCGCCCACUUGCCGCAUGGAACACUUCGUCGAUUGUGUCUAGAUUGCUUUGCACCCGUCGCAGCUGGGAAUCGGAUGUAAGUGCGCCCCAAACCGGAAGACCAUAUUGCCAAAUGGGCAUGAUGAGCUGCUUGAUGACUAUAGCCUUGGUUUCGCUUGGCAGCCGGCUUUUUGGGCCAGCAAGCCAGUCCAGUUUGGCCGCUCUUGAUCGGAGUUUUGUGCAGAUCCUCGUGAUGUGUGAGCUUAGGGUGAUUUGGACAGCUCCAAUGCAUCCACAAUCUGCAUCAGCUCAGGCAGUGUGACUGGUCUGAAGGGAAUCCUGGUUUCCUGGUCCGGUUGUAGCUGCUUCUGCCGUUUUGACUGCUCACGCUCUCUAUUGAUUGCGGCCCGCUCUUCAUCUGAAUUGGACAGUAUCGGGCUGAAUCUCUCCUCCAGGAUUGUGAGCCCCUUGUUAAGACGAUUUUGCGCCGCCCUGUAGUUUCGUCUGGCUUCGAUGGUGCGGGUCGCCAGCCAGAUCCUCUUGCACUGCUGU